AUUGAACGCUGGCGGCAGGCCUAACACAUGCAAGUCGAACGAGUGGCGGACGGGCGAGUAAUGUCUGGGAACCUGCCUGAUGGAGGGGGAUAACUACUGGAAACCGUAGCAAAUACUGCAUACCAUCAGAUGUGCCCAGAUGGGAUUAGCUUGUUGGUGGGGUAACGGCUCACCAAGGCGACGAUCCCUAGCUGGUCUGAGAGGAUGAACAGCCAUAAUGGAACUGAGACACGGUCCAGACUCCUACGGGAGGCAGCAGUGGGUAAUAUUGCACAAUGGGCGCAAGCCUGAUGCAGCCAUGCCGCGUGUAUGAAGAAGGCCUUCGGGUUGUAAAAUACUUUCAGCGGGGAGGCGUUACCCGCAGAAAAAGCACCGGCUAACUCCGUGCCAGCAGCCGCGGUAAUUC
rnacentral:rRNA from 1 species